CAUCACCAUCCAGCAUGCUUUGACUUUACUACUCCCAGCAACCUUGUUUAUUUUGUCCCUCAGGAUGAGGUAUCAGCUGGGGACUCCAGGUGUGUCUGCUGUCUCUGGGACCCCAGUGACUCCAUUGUGAUUUGUGGAACUUUUAUUAGAUUUGACAGCACUGGUGCUAUGUUGGCUGUGAUAACAGAACUCCUCCCCAAGGCAACUAUUGCAGGCAUUUGACACCAUGGAUUUCCAGACCCGGUUAAGUUCUUAAUUGACAUACAUCUG
rnacentral:lncRNA from 1 species